rnacentral:lncRNA from 1 species
GGAGAUCAUCAGCGAUCAUUAGCAUGUCACCGCCAAUUAUCAAUGGUUUGCCUUCGAAUUAUAAGUAAAUUAUUACAAUCAUCACUGCCAGUCGAAUGCCCUACACAGUUCAAGGUGUUACUACUAUGCUCUUGGAUGCUGAAACACGGUAACUUUCUCCAGUUAUUGAGAUAUUUGUUUCUGCUAAUGUGGUCUCACAUCAG